rnacentral:rRNA from 1 species
CGCAUCUGUGCAUGCAGCAUAUCAAUAAGCGGAGGAAAAGAAACUAACAAGGAUUCCCCCAGUAACGGCGAGUGAAGCGGGAAGAGCUCAAAUUUGAAAUCUUGAAAGGUCACCUUUCACGAAUUGUAGUUUAAAGAAGUGUUUUCUGUUACGAUCGUAAUAUAAGUUCUUUGGAAUAGGACAUCACAGAGGGUGAGAAUCCCGUCUAUGAUUGCGAUUUGUAGCUUUGUGAUACACUUUCAAAGAGUCGGGUUGUUUGGGAAUGCAGCCCAAGACGGGAGGUAAAUUUCUUCUAAGGCUAAAUAUUGGCGAGAGACCGAUAGCGAACAAGUACCGUGAGGGAAAGAUGAAAAGAACUUUGAAAAGAGAGUUAAAUAGUACGUGAAAUUGUCAAAAGGGAAGCGUUUAACACCAGUGUUGUUUUCUGAAAAUCAACCUCUGUUAGCUUUAUGCAUGUUUGUUUAGACCUAAUCAGCUAUCUUGCAUGUUCUAUUGUUUGCAGUGGUGCACUUUUCAGUUUACAGGUCAACAUCAGUUUUUUUUACCGUAAAAAAGUUAAAGAAAGGUAGCUCAUGGCUCCGGUCGUGAGUGUUAUAGUCUUUUUCCUAUGCGGUAGGAGAGACUGAGGUCUGCAGUGUAGGCUAUUUGGCUAGAUACUCAGGUGCUAUGUGAUACCAUUUCAUAAACAACUUGUUGAUUAUGUUUUGUCUAUUGCAUACUCGCUUGUACUAUCAUACCUACGCUUAGGAUGUUGACGAUCAGCUGAGCGCG